rnacentral:rRNA from 1 species
UGCAGUCGAACGAUCACUUCGGUGAUAGUGGCGCACGGGUGCGUAACGCGUGGGAACCUGCCUUUAGGUUCGGAAUAACUCAGAGAAAUUUGAGCUAAUACCGGAUAAUGUCUUCGGACCAAAGAUUUAUCGCCUUUAGAUGGGCCCGCGUUGGAUUAGCUAGUUGGUGGGGUAAAGGCCUACCAAGGCGACGAUCCAUAGCUGGUCUGAGAGGAUGAUCAGCCACACUGGGACUGAGACACGGCCCAGACUCCUACGGGAGGCAGCAGUGGGGAAUAUUGGACAAUGGGCGAAAGCCUGAUCCAGCAAUGCCGCGUGAGUGAUGAAGGCCUUAGGGUUGUAAAGCUCUUUUACCAGGGAUGAUAAUGACAGUACCUGGAGAAUAAGCUCCGGCUAACUCCGUGCCAGCAGCCGCGGUAAUACGGAGGGAGCUAGCGUUGUUCGGAAUUACUGGGCGUAAAGCGCGCGUAGGCGGCCUACCAAGUCAGGGGUGAAAUCCCGGGGCUCAACCCCGGAACUGCCCUUGAAACUGGUAAGCUAGAAUCCUGGAGAGGCGAGUGGAAUUCCGAGUGUAGAGGUGAAAUUCGUAGAUAUUCGGAAGAACACCAGUGGCGAA